UUUUCCGGCGGCGGCGUCAGGGGUGGAGUCAGCGGCGGUGUCAGGGGCGGAGCAGCGCCGGAAGGGGCAGUAGCAGUGGCGGCAGUCUCGGCAGCCUCGGCAGCAGGAGCGGCGGCGGGCGAGCUUUACGCCUGUUGUAUUUAACUGCAGUCCAGUUUAAUGGAGCUGGAGCGACUGCACCGGGCCCGGCCCACGCCCCAGGAUGGACCUGAGUCCCCCUGCGAAGCUUUACGCCUGUUGUAUUUAACUGCAGUCCAGUUUAAUGGAGCUGGAGCGACUGCACCGGGCCCGGCCCACGCCCCAGGAUGGACCUGAGUCCCCCCCGUGAAGGUAUCCCUUGGUGACCCAGAGCAACCCAUGGACACCUCCUAGAGCCCCGCAGAGCACAGUAGAUCCCCUAUAGAGCCACUCAGCCUCAUAGCCUCCCUGUAGACAUCCCAUAGGGUCCCAGGGCGACCCGUAGACAUCCCAGAGCAACUCUUAGCAACCCGUGGACACCCCAUAGUUACGUACAGACACCCAUCAACAUCACAUAGUGACCCAUAGACAGUCCCCAGCCAUCCACAGCACCCCAUAGAGACCCACAGCAACUCCUAGAUACCCUAUACACCCCCACACGGCCCCAUGACGACCCACAGAGCCACAUAGACACCCUCCACUGCCACACAGCGCCCCACCCUAUAGUUCCCGAUAGACGCACAACACGCACCCCACGGCUUUUAUUGACUUAGGGUGUCGUGAUGCCACCAGGACUGCGAUGACAGCAGCAGCAGCAGCAUCGUCAAGCAGCACGGCACCACGUAGGGCCCCCAAUUACCCCGUCGCGCCCCAUAAGUACCCCCACACCAAUCGUUUUUUUAUUUGCUUUCAUUCAUUUUUAUGAACUUUUAUUCGAGAUUCAUUCAGGCUUGUUCACUUUUAUUCCUUUUUAUUUGCUUUGUAAUAAUUUGUAAUCACAUUAUUCACUUUUGCUUUUUAUUAUCUUUA